UACGGAGGGGGCCAGCGUUGUUCGGAAUCAUUGGGCGUAAAGGGCGCGUAGGCGGCUUUGUAAGUCCGUUGUGAAAUCCCUCGGCUCAACCGAGGAACUGCGACGGAUACUGCUUGGCUUGAGUCCCGGAGAGGGUAGCGGAAUUCCCAGUGUAGCGGUGAAAUGCGUAGAUAUUGGGAGGAACAUCGGUGGCGAAGGCGGCUACCUGGACGGUACUGACGCUGAUGCGCGAAAGCUAGGGGAGCAAACAGG
rnacentral:rRNA from 1 species